rnacentral:rRNA from 1 species
ACAUGCAAGUCGAGCGGUAACAGGUGUAGCAAUACAUGCUGACGAGCGGCGAACGGGUGAGUAAUGCUCCGGAAUCUGCCCAAUGGUGGGGAAUAACCAGCCGAAAGGUUGGCUAAUACCGCAUAAGUCCUACGGGGGAAAGCAGGGGAUCGCAAGACCUUGCGCCGAUGGAUGAGCCGAAGUCGGAUUAGCUAGUUGGUAGGGUAACGGCCUACCAAGGCGACGAUCCGUAGCUGGUCUGAGAGGACGACCAGCCACACUGGGACUGAGACACGGCCCAGACUCCUACGGGAGGCAGCAGUGGGGAAUAUUGGACAAUGGGGGAAACCCUGAUCCAGCGACGCCGCGUGUGUGAAGAAGGCCUGCGGGUUGUAAAGCACUUUUAGUGGGGAUGAAAAGCUCAGGGCUAAUACCUCUGGGUCUUGACCUAACCCAAAGAAAAAGCACCGGCUAACUCUGUGCCAGCAGCCGCGGUAAUACAGAGGGUGCGAGCGUUAAUCGGAAUUACUGGGCGUAAAGCGUGCGUAGACGGUUAUGUAAGUCGGGUGUGAAAGCCCCGGG